rnacentral:rRNA from 1 species
AAGGCUAAAUACUACUUGGUGACCGAUAGUGAAGCAGUACCGUGAGGGAAAGGUGAAAAGAACCCCGGGAGGGGAGUGAAAGAGAACCUGAAACCCUAUGUUUACAAGCAGACAAAGCACGUUAAGGUGCGAUGUCGUACUUUUUGUAGAACGGUCCGGCGAGUUAUUUUAUAUGGCAAGGUUAAGUACUUAAGGUACGAAGCCGAAGAGAAAUCGAGUCUGAAAAGGGCGAAUAAGUCAUAUGAAAUAGACCCGAAACCGGGUGACCUAUCCAUGGUCAGGUUGAAGCUUGAGUAAAAUCAAGUGGAGGACCGAACCCAUAAGCGUUAAAAAGCUUCGGGAUGAACUGUGGAUAGCGGAGAAAUUCCAAUCGAACUCGGAGAUAGCUGGUUCUCCUCGAAAUAGUUUUAGGACUAGCCUUGUUUAGUAGUACGUGGGGGUAGAGCACUGAAUGAGCUAGGGGCCAAACCAGGUUACCGAACUCUAUCAAACUCCGAAUACCAUGUAUGUAAGAACAGGAGUCAGACUGUGGGAGCUAAGUUCCAUGGUCAAAAGGGAAAGAGCCCAGAUCGUCAAUUAAGGUCCCAAAGAUAUAGUUAAGUGGAAAACGAUGUGAUUUUGCGUAAACAACCAGGAUGUUGGCUUAGAAGCAGCCAUGCAUUUAAAGAGUGCGUAAUAGCUCACUGGUCGAGUGAAGUUGCGCGGAAAAUUACCGGGGCUAAACUAUACACCGAAAUUGCGGAUUUAUACGAUAGUAUAAGUGGUAGAGGAGCAUUCUAUAGUAGGACGAAGCAUGACUGAAAAGACAUGUGGACGAGAUAGAAGAGAGAAUGCCGGAAUAAGUAGCGAAAGCAUGGUGAGAAUCCAUGCCAUCGAAAGUCUAAGGUUUCCUGGGGAAGGUUCGUCCGCCCAGGGUAAGUCGGGACCUAAGGUGAGGCCGAAAGGCGUAGCCGAUGGACAGCAGGUAGAAAUUCCUGCACCACCGAUAUACUUAAAAAGCACAAGGGACACAGGAGUGGAAGAGAAGCGAGGAAGAGGAAAAACUCGUAUCGAAAGAUAUAGUGAAAAUAAAGUAACGAAUUCUCAAGAAGCACACUGGCGAGAAAAGCUUGUGAGUAUUGUAUAUAGGUGCCCGUACCGCAAACCGACACAGGUAGAUGAGGAGAGGAUCCUAAGAUGAGCGAGAGAAGCAUUGUUAAGGAACUCGGCAAACUAACCCCGUAACUUAGGGAGAAGGGGUACCAUAUGAAAGUAUGGUCGCAGAGAAGAGGCCCAAGCAACUGUUUAACAAAAACACAGGUUUCUGCUAAAUCGAAAGAUGAAGUAUAGGAGCUGACACCUGCCCAGUGCUGGAAGGUUAAGGGGAAAUGUAAGUACUUGAUACGAAGCAUAGAACCAAAGCCCCAGUGAACGGCGGCCGUAACUAUAACGGUCCUAAGGUAGCGAAAUUCCUUGUCAGGUAAGUUCUGACCCGCACGAAAGGUGUAAUGAUUUGGGCGCUGUCUCGACAAUGUACUCGGCGAAAUUGUAGUACUAGUGAAGAUGCUAGUUACCUGCGACAAGACAGAAAGACCCCAUGGAGCUUUACUGUAGCUUGAUACUGGGUUU